GGAAUAUUGGACAAUGGGCGAAAGCCUGAUCCAGCCAUGCCGCGUGUGUGAAGAAGGUCUUCGGAUUGUAAAGCACUUUAAGUUGGGAGGAAGGGCAGUUACCUAAUACGUGAUUGUCUUGACGUUACCGACAGAAUAAGCACCGGCUAACUCUGUGCCAGCAGCCGCGGUAAUACAGAGGGUGCAAGCGUUAAUCGGAAUUACUGGGCGUAAAGCGCGCGUAGGUGGUUUGUUAAGUUGAAUGUGAAAUCCCCGGGCUCAACCUGGGAACUGCAUCCAAAACUGGCAAGCUAGAGUAUGGUAGAGGGUAGUGGAAUUUCCUGUGUAGCGGUGAAAUGCGUAGAUAUAGGAAGGAACACCAGUGGCGAAGGCGACUACCUGGACUGAUACUGACACUGAGGUGCGAAAGCGUGGGGAGCAAACAGGAUUAGAUACCCGGG
rnacentral:rRNA from 1 species